rnacentral:rRNA from 1 species
GAUGAACGCUAGCGGCAGGCUUAAUACAUGCAAGUCGAGGGGCAGCACGAAUAGCAAUAUUUGGUGGCGACCGGCAAACGGGUGCGGAACACGUACAGAACCUUCCUUCGAGCGGGGAAUAGCCCGAAGAAAUUCGGAUUAAUACCCCCAUAGUAAAUUGAAAAGGCAUCUUUUUAAUUUUAAAGUAAUUAUCACUUGAAGAUGGCUGUGCGCCUGAUUAGGUAGUUGGCGGGGUAACGGCCCACCAAGCCUGCGAUCAGUAACUGGUGUGAGAGCACGACCAGUCACACGGGCACUGAGACACGGGCCCGACUCCUACGGGAGGCAGCAGUAAGGAAUAUUGGUCAAUGGACGCAAGUCUGAACCAGCCAUGCCGCGUGGAGGAUGAAGGUCCUCUGGAUUGUAAACUUCUUUUA